rnacentral:lncRNA from 1 species
CAUCGGAUUUUCUUCAAUAAGUCACUCAAUUUCUUUUGGUUCAAUGUGAGAUUUUGAAUGGUUGUAGAUUUUUUUGUUAGCUUUCCAAAAAGAUAAGAUUUGCUUGAUUUGGAGUAAGAAGGAAUGUUUGGUGAAUUUUUGAGUUUGAGGGAGUCGACUGCCUUUGCAGUUUGAAUCAGUCGAGUUUGGAAAGGCAUUUCUCAGUGCCUGGUGAUUGGAUUUAUUUGAAAUUUUGGGAGCAUCAAGCUUUAUAAGCUAAGCUCUGAAAGGCACCAGUUUUGGUGAAUUUUAAGACAAUCUGAAUUUUUAGUGAAUUUCUAAGUGAAGAGGGAUGGUCACUGUGGAAGUUUGGAUCAGUCAACUUCAAAGGAGGAAUUCUCACGAUUGGAUCAUUAGAUUGCAACGAAGAUUUUUGGAUCAAAAGCGCCUUCAAGUCAGCCUUGCAACAAGCUAAUAAUCAUUCAAAUUAAAAUUGAUUACAAAUUUUGGAAAAUUUUGGAGUAGAAGGGGGUGGCUACCUUCAAUCCUUAAGUGUUGUCAAGGUACCUUUGCUUUCACCUCUCUCAUUUUAUUUUUACUAUCAUCUUCACAAUGACUUGCAAGUUCCACAUUUCACUUUUGGCUAAUAAAUUUUAAGUUUAACUUUUAACCUUUAAUAUUCUUACUUUAACUUUUAAUUUUUAACUAAAUUUUUAAUUUUAACUUUUUACUUA